GACAUGGUUCUCCUUACUCUGUGCUCAAACAAACGGGCGAUAAAGUUUGUUUUGCAAAUGUCUUGCCACAGACACCGCGGUGAUGAACGGACUCUUUCAUUAUGAACUGAGGGUGGAGAAACAACUCCACAAUGUCCUUCGAGAUACACAUCUAGAAACAUUCCUGGGUGGUGUGAUGGGGACAGAGUUAUGAUAAUACACAAUUGUAUAAUUUAUCGUGCUUUGCAGUAUACAAAGCCCUGCCAUAUAAUUCCCUAGUUGUAUGUACUUUAGACUAACAGUUUGACCCUCACAUUUACAGAUUUUGGCAAUUUGAGACUGAGAGAUUAAGUGAAACUCCUGAAGGCUGACAGCUGGAAGGGCAGAAAGUGUCUUCUCUGCAUCACCAAAUGGCUGCCUUCUCCUUCCCAUGUAAAUUUGAGGGAUGCAGAGUUCAUUUGGCUCAUAUUUGAAGAGAUACACCCCAUCAAAGUGGAGAAGGCAUGGUGGCAGCUUGCUUCAUGGAAGACAGUUAUGUGGCUGGGACUCCUCUACAGUCCGUCAUAGUGGGGAAGGCAUGGCAGUGGAUGACUUCAUGGAGGAUGAGUGUGCAGGUUCUGCAUCUAAGUGAGAUCAUAUGAUUUCUGUCUUUCUGACCUGGUUUAUUCCACUUAAGAGCAAUAUUUAUAAAAAGAAUAAAUUUUAAGUACAAGGAAGAAAGAAAACAAGAAUUAUGAAAUCUUGUACAUGGAACAUCACAGUCCUAAGUAAGUACAUUAUGGUGUAAUUUAUAUUAAAAAUACUCAAGGAAAUACAAUACAUUAAAAACCACUACACUAAUUAUACAGGUUUCUUUCCAGAGUGAUUUAUCUUUCAAAGAUAACUGAAAGUAAAUGCAAUUCAGAAAAAUUACAAACUAGUGGGAUAUUACUACCAAGAGAAUAUUCACUCUUAGGAUAAAAUAAAUGUGAAAAAACACACUAUUAAAAUGUAAGAACAAUCAAUUUAAAUAAUUACAUUACUAAGCUUACAUACCCAAGUCAGAAAUUAAAACGUAUCAUUUCACCAUGAAGUCACUGAUUAUUUAUGUCUAGUUCUUGUACAGUGUUCACAUUCUAGGGAAUGUGUAUGGUUCUGAGCACACACUAGGGAACAAAGCAGACAUGAUCCUGCCCUCAGGGAGCUUCCAGUCUAGGGUGACAUAGACAACCACAAAACCACAGGAGCAGCGCUGGACAGUGGCCUCCAUUCCAGAGGAAGCAACAGCUGAGCCAAGAUCUGCAGUGUAGGGGUCAGUUGCCCAGUGGGAGAGGGGCAAAGGAUGAAAAAGAGAGCUUCAGGUAGAGGGUGACGGAAACAUAAAGGUCCUGAGGGUUACGGUGGCUCCCGUCCAAGGGAUCCAGAGACUUGCGGCCCACAGUGAAGUUUUGCUUGUCAGUGAGGAGAUGAGAACAGUAUGGUCAGUCUGUCCAAACCUAAUGUCAAUCCAUUGUAACAACUGAGCUGACCACCAUCUUGUUUUCUAGCAUUCUAAAGAAUAACCCCUUUUAAAAAUGAAAUGGUGAUAAUAGAUGGCAUCCUAUUAAAAAAAAAAAAAAA